rnacentral:rRNA from 1 species
UACGUAGGGUGCAAGCGUUGUCCGGAAUUAUUGGGCGUAAAGAGCUCGUAGGCGGUUCGUCGCGUCGGCUGUGAAAUCCCGCGGCUCAACCGCGGGCUUGCAGUCGAUACGGGCAGGCUUGAGUUCGGUAGGGGAGACUGGAAUUCCUGGUGUAGCGGUGAAAUGCGCAGAUAUCAGGAGGAACACCGGUGGCGAAGGCGGGUCUCUGGGCCGAUACUGACGCUGAGGAGCGAAAGCGUGGGGAGCGAACAGG